GGGUCAGUAGGUUGGUCGUGCCACCGGUACGUACUGGUCUCACUGAUUCCUCCUUCCUGAAGAACCGUAAUGCCAUUAAUUUGGUGUUGCGGGGAAACAGGACUGUUACUUUGAAAAAAUUAGAGUGUUUAAAGCAAGCUAAUGCCUGAAUACAUUAGCAUGGAAUAAUGAAAUAGGACGAUCGAUCCUAUUUUGUUGGUUUCUAGGAUUGACGUA
rnacentral:rRNA from 1 species